rnacentral:snRNA from 1 species
GUGCAGCACAUAUACUAAAAUUGGAAUGAUACAGAGAAGAUUUGCGUGGCCACCUGUAUGAGGAUGACACAGAAAUUCACGACGCAUUCCAUAUUUUU